rnacentral:rRNA from 1 species
UACGUAGGAGGCAAGCGUUGUCCGGAAUUACUGGGUGUAAAGCGCGUGUAGGCGGCAGGCCAAGUCUGUGGUGAAAUCGCUCGGCUCAACUGGGCGGGGUCCAUGGAAACUGGUCAGCUGGAGGACGGUAGAGGUGAGUGGAAUUCCCGGUGUAGUGGUGAAAUGCGUAGAUAUCUGGAGGAACACCGGUGGCGAAGGCGGCAUCCUGGACCGAGAUUGACGCUGAGGCGCGAAAGCCAGGGGAGCAAACGGG